CAAAACACUAGAUGUAAAAAAUGGAUGUAAAAAAUGGAUUGUCAUUUUGUUCGAUCUCAGGUUCGAUCUCAAGUCAUUCACACUGUGUUCACUUGAAGUUAUGAUCAAUUGGCUGACGUAUUUACUAAAGCUCUGCCAUCUGCUCAGUUUCAUCAUCUUUUGGGCAAGCUUGGCUCAAUAAAUCCCCUUGAUCCAGCUUGAACAGGGGUGUUGAAGUAGUAAAGUAUUGAUGCACAAAAUCGGAUGGCAAGCAUGGAAGCAUGGAGCUGCUAGUAUGUUGGAAGAAUAAUGCAAGCUUUCUGCUAGUCUUAGUGCUAGUACUAGCUGUUUACUUUAGGAUAAUUAAAGUAAUAAUGUUCCCUCAUAAUUGUAAAGUUAAGUUAGUGGCUUAAGUUAGGUAGAGUGGAGGCCAUCAUCAUGAUUGCUUUUGCUGUCAUCAUGAUUACUUUUGUUGUCAUUGUCCUCCACCUCUUGUUUUCCCUUUUCUUUCCCGUUUCUUCCUCUAUAUUUGUUUUGAUCUUGUAAUAGUUUAAACCAUGAAAUAGACAUACAUAGAUGGAAGUUGGGUAACCUUGCUUUAUUUAAAAAGGAUUCCCUGCUCACAGAGAAAAGCUUCUUCGUUUUUGGGACUAUCACCAUAAGGACAUACAGGUUUCCAAGUGAGUAGAAGAGCAUUUUGCAUCGUGUUCAUGGCCUCUGCAGGAACGAAUUGGUGAUCUUUUGUAUUCUGCAGUUUUUCAGACACAUGUUGGAAGGCAUGAUGAUGAUAAAGAUAACUCAUCGCAAAGGUUAUCAAGACUAACGGCUUUUGCAGGAGCAACAACCAUGAUAAAGUAUUCUUGAACAAAUGUUUAUAUAAUUUUUCACCAAAGUGAGAAUUAUUAGGAAGUUCUGUUCAAUGUAAUUUUUACAUGAAAUUGUGACUAACAGUUUAUAACAUGAUACUAAUCUUUCCAAAGAAAGAAAUAAUGAUUGGUUCAAACUGUGACUCAGUGUAUAGUAUUUCAUGAUUCCGUAAGGCAACUUUAGUCUCUUGUCCAAAGAUAUGAUUCAAGUUGGAAUGUGAAUUUUGUGAAAUAGCUAUACAAAUAAGGAUGUGUAAUGCAUAUUUGGCAGUUUAUGUUUCUUGCCCAAAGGUGUAACAUAAAUCUGUGUUUAAUAUUUAAAGUUGUUUCUCAUCCAAGGUUGCGGAGUAGAAGCUUUUCUUUGGUUUCAUCCAUGACUUCUUCAGGUAGGUAAUCAUUCAUCUCUUUACACUUCCAAUAUGUUGUUCGCUGCUGUACUCUUUGCAUAUAGGUAAUGUCUUCUUGAUUACACUAUAAUACAUGUUGAUAUAUAUAUAUAUAUAUAUAUAUAUUGGCACAUAGACAUUGGUGUAAUGCAAUUGUAGCUUAAUAAUUGAAUCGUUGCCCACAUGAUAUUUUAUUCGAUCAAUUUCAAAGUGGGUCUCUGCUUUCCCAUUUGUUUAAUUGUAACACUCUUUUUGCUUUGAGUCGGGUUCCAAUUAAUAAUAGGUUUUUCUUAAGCAAUUAUUGAUGAACUUUGAAAGAAAAGUAAUGAAACAUAUCAACUAUAUAUAAAAACGACAAAGUUAUCACAUACUUGCAUCAACUAAGCAAAACGCAAUGGCUUAGUUGACUUUAGGACCAGUGAUUUUAAGGUUCUUUGAUCAAACUUGCAUCUUAAUUAUAACAAAGGGAUCGAUGAUCUUCUUGCCCAAAUGUGUAGAUCAUUAUUUUUGGUUCAAUUAGGAUGGCAUAGUAUGAAUUUAUUUCAAAAAACAAAAAAACAAAACAAAAACAAAAAACCAAAAAAUAAAAAAAUAAAAAUUUGUGAAGGCCUUGCCCAAAGGUGUUGAAAGUUUUCAUGAGGUAACCCAUGUAAUACAUGAUCAAGAGAUAAAGUUCUUUAUUUUUAUUUACGAAUGCUUUUGCUAUGAGCCUCAUUAUAGGUAUGUAAGGACCAAUUUUAAUGAAAGCAUGAGAUAUAAAAUGUUUAUAUAUAUAUAUAUCUUCAUGAGAGAUGUCGAUGCACAAAAAUUGCUUGGCAAAUUAUGUCUUGAAUAAAGCUUAAUCAAUGGCACAUAUAUGGACCAUGAAAAUGCUUGACAUUUUGAUAUGUUGUACGUAUAUGUGUCUUCUCCUACAAUUCACAUUUUCGUGGUCAUUGGUUAUGUAUUUUAUUUGUUAUAAAUUUAUAAGUAAUCUAUGCUCAUAAAGAAAUCUAUGCUGGCAGUUUAUGGUUAGUCCACUUUGCUUGUCUCUUGGUUAUUAAUAGGACAAACAUGACUUCUUAACUUGUUAUAUGAAUAAUAAGCGUCUCUGGUUUAUUUUACAUAACUUGAGGAUUAGUCAUUAUAUAUAUAUAUAUAUAUAUAUAUAUAUAUAUAUAUAAAUUAGUUAUAGUAAAUCCUAGAGUAAUUGGAACUCACUCGUGGAAUCUUUUGUUUUGGAUUUCUAUUCUUUUGUGUUUAAAAUUUUAAGCAACUAGUACGCCGAAUUUUGGUGAAGCAAUAAAUUAAUGAGUGUUUUGCCCAUGUAAGAGAAUAAGUGACGAAAUCUUGAGCUUCACACUCAUUAACUCAUUCAAAAGUUAUUAAGUUCUAAAAGAUUAUGAGAGUUGUUCUUUGUGUUGUCCAAAUCAAAUUGAAAGUAAACUAAAGUUUUUGAAAACACAUGUAUUAAGUUUCCUUCUAUGAUGAAUGCAUGUUUAAUAUUCAACAUCCAUAUGUGAGAAAACAGAUCAGUAACGCCAAGGUACUAUUAGCAUGCUCUACCAUCCAAGUCUUGGAACAAUAACUAAUGUACGCAUGCAUACGGCAUAUGGCAUAUACCACCAUGACAUGAAUCAAAUGGAAAGUCAUUAUUUCCAAAGCAAUCAGUUUCAGGCUGUAAAGCAAGUUUCAUUAGUUUCAUGCUGUAGAGCAAGGGUUUCAUAAUUUUGCACUAGAAUUUGCUAAAAUGUAGUGUAAGGAACCUCACCCUGAUUCAAACUAGCAUGACUCAAGUUGAAUUAUAAUCUUAAAGAUGACAACAUGGUUAAAUUGCGUGACUAUAUAUAAUGUAUAUAUGAUGUUUAUGUGCAUUGUCUAUCAUCUUUGUCUAUUGCAUAUGGUUGCAUUGGAUGGUUACAUGUUGGUCUUUAUAAGUAGUGUGAAGCUAAUACGAACUAAUGUUUGAUAUCGAUACAAUUGUGGUCCAGUUGUUUCAUACCGUUUGAUUGUUUGUGGUAUGGUUUUGUGUAUCCAUCAUACAUGCUUAAAUGAAUAUCAAGGAAAGAUUGGAAUAUCUUGUGCAUGAAAGAUUGUGAUACUUUUGUGACUUUUUCAUUGAUAAUGUGAUUUCUUGCAUGUUAAGGAAACAUAAAAGAAGUAAAUAAAUAAAAUUAUGUGGUAAGAUGCUUUUGUGUUAACUAAUUGUCAUAGUAAGGUUGCUCCCAAAGCAUGCAUAUUUCAGAACUUUAUCAAAAGUGUAGUUCUGUAAUUACGUUAUGAUUAAUUAAAUUAGUGGGAGUGAUAACUUUAUAUUUGUUUUGCCUUACAUCUUGCAAAUUAUUAUGUAUUGUACUCUUUCGCCGUAAGGGUUCUUUCUGGUUUGAUUAAACAAAUAUGUGCUAUAAAUACACUUGGUGGCCAACUAGUUAGAAUAAUGGCUAAUUGUACUACUUCGUGAAAGUGUUUUGGACUUGUGACUUCAAUUUUUGAAGUAACAAGGAAGACUGUUAUACAGUGAUACAGGAUAUCAACUUGUGAAUAUAAGGAUGGAGAUUAUGACUAUUCAAAUAAGGAUCUAUAUAUACGGCUAUUGCAUUUUCACAUAAGGUUGUUGCAUACAGUUCGCUAGAAAUGUACCACUAUCGUGAAGCUUUAUUAUUAGUUUCAAUAUGCGAGAUUAGUGGGAAUGUUCAAAGAACAUGUAGCAAACAUGGGUGUGCAUGAUAGUUUUGAUUCUAUAGGAAUGUGGGAGUAAAACAUGCUACUGCAUGAAUUAUAACUAUUUAUUAGUGUUGCUGCGAGUUUGUGUUUUGUUGUUUCAUUCAAGCUUAUAUUCAAUUGACACUAUGGUUAUUGAUUCAGACUUAUUUAAAGCAAUUAAUGUGGCCAAUGAUUGUUCCAAAGAACAUAUUGGAUAAGUUUGUUUUGUGCAGGAAGCUAGAAAUCAACUCAAAGUCCAGUGUUUAAGGAUGAAAAUCUCUAAAGAUAAGUCUGAUUAAAGUGCAUUGGACAGAUGAGUGUGGAAGGAAAAGGUGUGAGAAUUGUAAUGAUUACUGAAGUAUGGAUUGUACAUAUAUGCAUAUGUCAUUGACAUCAUACAGUGCGAUUUUGAAUAUCGUGAUUUCAGGGUGCAUGCAGUAUUGAUACAUGCAUUGUUUUUUGGAGUUCAAUUUUCAAAUGUUUAUUAGUAUAUGUGUAUAGGAUAUGGAUUGCGUGAAACUCACGGUGAUCACUAAGGAAUGAUUUAUAAUGAACAUGUUGUUU